UACGAAGGGGGCUAGCGUUGUUCGGAAUUACUGGGCGUAAAGCGCACGUAGGCGGCUACUUAAGUCAGGGGUGAAAUCCCGGGGCUCAACCCCGGAACUGCCUUUGAUACUGGGUAUCUCGAGUCCGGAAGAGGUGAGUGGAAUUCCGAGUGUAGAGGUGAAAUUCGUAGAUAUUCGGAGGAACACCAGUGGCGAAGGCGGCUCACUGGUCCGGUACUGACGCUGAGGUGCGAAAGCGUGGGGAGCAAACAGG
rnacentral:rRNA from 1 species